GCAGGGGUAGCCAAGCCUGGUCAACGGCGCAGGAUUCAGGGUCCUGUUCUUAGAGAUUCGAGGGUUCAAAUCCCUUCCCCUGCACCA
rnacentral:tRNA from 1 species